rnacentral:rRNA from 1 species
GAUGAACGCUGGCGGCGUGCCUAAUACAUGCAAGUCGAGCGAAUGGAUUAAGAGCUUGCCCUUAUGAAGUUAGCGGCGGACGGGUGAGUAACACGUGGGUAACCUGCCCAUAAGACUGGGAUAACUCCGGUAAACCGGGGCUAAUACCGGCUAACAUUUUGAACCGCAUGGUUCGAAAUUGAAAGACGGCCUCGGCUGUCACUUAUGGAUGGACCCGCGUCGCAUUAGUUAGUUGGUGAGGUAACGGCUCACCAAGGCAACGAUGCGUAGCCGACCUGAGAGGGUGAUCGGCCACACUGGGACUGAGACACGGCCAAGACUCCUACGGGAGGCAGCAGUAGGGAAUCUUCCGCAAUGGACGAAAGGCUGACGGAGCAACGCCGCGUGAGUGAUGAAGGCUUUCGGGUCGUAAAACUCUGUUGUUAGGGAAGAACAAGUGCUAGUUGAAUAAGCUGGCACCUUGACGGUACCUAACCAGAAAGCCACGGCUAACUACGUGCCAGCAGCCGCAGUAA